CGUGAACUGGGUUCAGAACGUCGUGAGACAGUUCGGUCCCUAUCUGUUGCGGGCGUUAGAAGUUUGAGGGGAGCUACCAUUAGUACGAGAGGACCGUGGUGGACGAACCGCUAGUGUACCAGUUGUCCCGCCAGGGGCACCGCUGGGUAGCUAUGUUCGGACGGGAUAAGCGCUGAAAGCAUCUAAGCACGAAGCCCACCCCAAGAUGAGACUUCUUUAUAAGGGUCGUGGAAGAUUACCACGUUGAUAGGCCACAGGUGUAAAGUCAGCAAUGGCAAAGCCGAGUGGUACUAAUUACCCGUAGACUUUCGAUC
rnacentral:rRNA from 1 species